rnacentral:ncRNA from 1 species
UCUUAUCCAGAGUGGCGGAGGGACUGGCCCGAUGAAGCCCGGCAACUGGCCUGCGUGCGUGCGCAGGUGCUGUGCCAAAUCCAGCAGACAUUGAUCUGACAGAUAAGA